AACGAACGCUGGCAGAAUGCUUAACACAUGCAAGUCGAACGUGAAAGUACUUCGGUAUGAGUAAAGUGGCGCACGGGUGAGUAACACGUAGGUGACCUGCCGUUUAGAGGGGGAUAACCAGAAGAAAUAUUGGCUAAUACCGCAUACGAAGAACGAACUUAAAUAUAGUUCUUGAAAGGAUGCCUCUGCAUAUGCAUCUACUAAACGAUGGGCCUGCGGUACAUUAGCUAGUUGGUGGGGUAAUGGCCUACCAAGGCGACGAUGUAUAACGGAUCUGAGAGGAUGGUCCGUCACACUGGAACUGAGACACGGUCCAGACUCCUACGGGAGGCAGCAGUGGGGAAUAUUGGACAAUGGGCGAAAGCCUGAUCCAGCAAUUCUGCGUGAGUGAGGAAGGACUUCGGUCUGUAAAGCUCUGUUAAUGUGGAAAAAUGGUUAGCGGUCUAAUAGGCCGUUGAUUUGAUGGUACACAUAGAGGAAGCACCGGCUAACUUCGUGCCAGCCGCCGCGGUAA
rnacentral:rRNA from 1 species